rnacentral:lncRNA from 1 species
AGUUCAAAAGAGGAGGCUGCCAAAUGAUUUCUUUAAGGAAAGGAACUUUAGGGUGAUGUAUGGAGAUUCUAAACAUCUUCAAGAAAGUGAAAUCUCUUAUGGAAUUUGAAGAUGGCUUACAAGUGUUAUUACUAGUUAGAGAAGUGCUAGCAAUGAUUAAGGAUAUGGCAGAUUUCCAAGAAAUAAACUUAUUAUUGAAUCUAGCUUGAUUUCCGACAAGCCAUAUAGUAUUGAGCAAGUUGAUGAUGGCAGCAGUAAUGGUAAUCUUGCACUUAGGGGACCAAUUCAGCUCACAAAGCUUCCACAUAUCUUCCAUUGACGUAAACUGUAAAACUAAAUUUAAACAACCAGCAAGCCAAGACCAUAGCUUGAGCUGCAAGUCACCGGUGUUUGUGUGUUUCCACAACAACCUGUCUUGAGUGGGAUCCAAAGGUAUUGUAACUUUGGAGAUAAUAGAGCUAAAGUUCUAAAUAUGCUAAAGUUCUUUUUGAGGUGGCCUAUUAAAAUUCCUUCAAACUUUGGUCCUAUAAAUUUUCAGUUUUCAAUUUUAGUCUCACAUUUUCACAAAAGUCCGCGUAUCGGUAUCACGUUCUAAAUGAGUUUUUUUUUCAAAAAAAAACAUAUCGUUAUUAAGAACUUAAAAUACAAUUAGUUUAAUAAUUUAACUAUUU